GCAGUAGCCGCGGGAAUACGAGGGGGGCAAGCGUUGUUCGGAAUUAUUGGGCGUAAAGGGUGCGUAGGCGGUUCAGCAAGUCUCGUGUGAAAUCUUCGGGCUCAACCCGAAGUCUGCACGGGAAACUACUGGGCUUGAGUAAUGGAGAGGUGAGUGGAAUUUCCGGUGUAGCGGUGAAAUGCGUAGAUAUCGGAAGGAACACCUGUGGCGAAAGCGGCUCACUGGACAUUUACUGACGCUGAUGCACGAAAGCUAGGGGAGAAAACAGGAUUAGAUACCCCAGUAGUCCCUGUCUCUUAUAC
rnacentral:rRNA from 1 species